rnacentral:rRNA from 1 species
GAUGAACGCUGGCGGCGUGCCUAAUACAUGCAAGUCGAGCGAAUGGAUUAAGAGCUUGCUCUUAUGAAGUUAGCGGCGGACGGGUGAGUAACACGUGGGUAACCUGCCCAUAAGACUGGGAUAACUCCGGGAAACCGGGGCUAAUACCGGAUAACAUUUUGAACCGCAUGGUUCGAAAUUGAAAGGCGGCUUCGGCUGUCACUUAUGGAUGGACCCGCGUCGCAUUAGCUAGUUGGUGAGGUAACGGCUCACCAAGGCAACGAUGCGUAGCCGACCUGAGAGGGUGAUCAGCCACACUGGGACUGGGACACGGCCCAGACUCCUACGGGGAGCAGCAGUAGGGAAUCUUCCGCAAUGGACGAAAGUCUGACGGAGCAACGCCGCGUGAGUGAUGAAGGCUUUCGGGUCGUAAAACUCUGUUGUUAGGGAAGAACAAGUGCUAGUUGAAUAAGCUGGCACCUUGACGGUACCUAACCAGAAAGCCACGGCUAACUACGUGCCAGCCGCCGCGGUAA